rnacentral:rRNA from 1 species
CCUACGGGUGACAGCAGUGAGGAAUAUUGGUCAAUGGACGAGAGUCUGAACCAGCCAAGUAGCGUGAAGGAUGACUGCCCUAUGGGUUGUAAACUUCUUUUAUAAGGGAAUAAAGUGUUACACGUGUGGGUUUUUGUAUGUACCUUAUGAAUAAGAAUCGGCUAACUCCGUGCCAGCAGCCGCGGUAAUACGGAGGAUCCGAGCGUUAUCCGGAUUUAUUGGGUUUAAAGGGAGCGUAGGUGGAUUGUUAAGUCAGUUGUGAAAGUUUGCGGCUCAACCGUAAAAUUGCAGUUGAAACUGGCAGUCUUGAGUACAGUAGAGGUAGGCGGAAUUCGUGGUGUAGCGGUGAAAUGCUUAGAUAUCACGAAGAACUCCGAUUGCGAAGGCAGCUCACUGGACUGCAACUGACACUGAGGCUCGAAAGUGUGGGUAUCAAACAGGAUUAGAUACCCUUGUAGUC